UGUAAAUCCUUUAAGGAUAGUCUUUCAUCCCGUAGUGUAGGCCUUUGUAACGUGCUGUAAUGUACUUUUCUUUUAAUGAAGUUCUUGUUCUGCUCUCAUGCUUAAGCUGUUCUUCUUUUAUCAUGUGUGAAAUACUUUAGAUUGCUCGCCUUACAAUUUUAACCAACUGAGCUCUGUCCUGCUUUUUCCCGAGCUGAUCUAACUUAUCUGCGAGCUCUGAUGAGUUGAACUCCGGAUCCACUUAGCCGACUGUGCUUUCAAGUUUCCGAGCUGGACUGUCUGACCGACCUGUGAGCUCGGUUUUUACUUCGAUGAAUUGAGCUUUGAGUCUCCUUCAUCCGACCGGGCUCUCAGGUCAAGUGUUCUGUCUUUGCUUAGUGAAAUGAGCUCUGAGUUUUCUUUAGCUGGCCGAGCUCCCAAGUCAUGCUGUCCGAGCUGGACUAAUUCGACCUCUGAGCUCGGCUUCUGAUGAGUUAAACUCUAAGCUCUCAGCUUAGUAUGGAUCUGAGGUAUCCUUGUCGUCUCUUUUCGAUCUCGUAACCCUUGUUUUAACAACAAGUCAAAUCUUAUAUGUAUUCUACGUGAUGAGUAGGUCUAACUUUUAUCAUGCUUUCAUCUGCUUGCAUCUUUGAGUUUUUCCUUCUAUUUCCUUGAUACUUACCACGGAUGUGGUGAAGUGAUGAAUCUUGUGGGUUAAGUUGUCUUGGCUGGAAAUCAGGUCCGAACAAGUUGGGCUUGCCUGGGCUUUUAAGUGAUGGGCUAUCAUUGUGGACCUGGCCCUUGAUAGAUGUAGACAAGCCCAGCGAUCAUCCUUUUGCCCCUUUACCG
rnacentral:lncRNA from 1 species